rnacentral:rRNA from 1 species
UAGGGAAUCUUCCGCAAUGGGCGAAAGCCUGACGGAGCAACGCCGCGUGAGUGAUGAAGGUCUUCGGAUCGUAAAACUCUGUUAUUAGGGAAGAACAUACGUGUAAGUAACUAUGCACGUCUUGACGGUACCUAAUCAGAAAGCCACGGCUAACUACGUGCCAGCAGCCGCGGUAAUACGUAGGUGGCAAGCGUUAUCCGGAAUUAUUGGGCGUAAAGCGCGCGUAGGCGGUUGUUUAAGUCUGAUGUGAAAGCCCACGGCUCAACCGUGGAGGGUCAUUGGAAACUGGAAAACUUGAGUGCAGAAGAGGAAAGUGGAAUUCCAUGUGUAGCGGUGAAAUGCGCAGAGAUAUGGAGGAACACCAGUGGCGAAGGCGACUUUCUGGUCUGUAACUGACGCUGAUGUGCGAAAGCGUGGGGAUCAAACA